GACGAACGCUGGCGGCGUGCCUAAUACAUGCAAGUCGAACGAAGCUGUUUUAACUGGUGCUUGCACCGACUUAAACAACUGAGUGGCGAACGGGUGAGUAACACGUGGGUAACCUGCCCCAAAGCGGGGGAUAACAUUUGGAAACAGAUGCUAAUACCGCAUAACCACAGAAACCACAUGGUUUCUGUGUCAAAGAUGGUUUCGGCUAUCACUUUGGGAUGGACCAGCGGUGUAUUAGCUAGUUGGUAAGGUAAGGGCUUACCAAGGCAAUGAUACGUAGCCGAACUGAGAGGUUGAUCGGCCACAUUGGGACUGAGACACGGCCCAAACUCCUACGGGAGGCAGCAGUAGGGAAUCUUCCACAAUGGACGAAAGUCUGAUGGAGCAACGCCGCGUGAGUGAAGAAGGUUUUCGGAUCGUAAAACUCUGUUGUCAGAGAAGAACGUGUGCGAGAGUAACUGCUCGUGCAGUGACGGUAUCUGGCCAGAAAGCCACGGCUAACUACGUGCCAGCAGCCGCCGUAA
rnacentral:rRNA from 1 species